ACCAUGGCCUCCAGAAUGAAUCUCUCUGAAGAACAUGACACACAGAUAAAGACAGUCAAGAGUCAGAUUCAGGGGCGUGAAUCAGAUUUAUCUGAACACAUGGAUGUGUCUGUGAGGAAAAAACGACGGAUGGAUGUUUCAGAUCUCUGCAGAGAGGAAGACUCUUCUGUUGAGUCCAGUCUGUGUCAGAAUGAAUCUCCUGAACCCAGCUGUGUGUCCAUCAAGAGUGACCAG